CCUAAGUGCAGUUAUAAAUUUCCGUAUCCAACGUUUUAUUGUCUGUCUUAUUUAAAAUUUUUUUAAAAUUACUAUUUAUAUUAUUAUUGAAUGAUAAAAUAUGAAUAAUACUUUAUAUGUAACUUAUUUAUUUUAUUUAUUUUAUAAAUUUUUGAAAUAAGACAGAUCAAACGCCAUACAUGUCAACUGUAACCGUACUUAAA
rfam:Oryza glaberrima chromosome 1 Oglab01_0105_1, whole genome shotgun sequence.